AGCAGUUCAGCUGUAACUAUUCAGCUUUUUCCUGAGAGAUACCCAGUGAGGGCACCUUCAGGCAGAUCCACAAAAAUAUAUAAGCCCUAGGUAGGCCCCUGAGCUAUAAGUAAAACCCAAUGUUGAGAUUCCUGCUGGUUGUGUCAACAGGAGUUUAGAUAUAAAAAAAAAAAAAAAAUAAAUAAAUAAAUAAAAGAAAGAAAAGCAAAAGCACAGUAAUUAAGUGCUUUCCUGGCUUGGACAAACUAUAGUUGAAACAAAGAUGACUUCUUUCUGGAGUAAAUUGUUUUGUCUGCUAAGUGAUCGCUUUAUUUUAUAGUGAAAUGGCAGGCGAAGAAAUACAAGGAAAAUGGUUUAAAUCUUGUUACCUUGGUAAAGAUCCCACUGACCACAAUAGUAUUUUACCUUUGCAUGGAUUAAGAGAACAGCAGGAUCUGAACAGCUGGUCACAUAGUUGUGGUGUUGGUAUUUCUAAACCUCUAAUAAGGCAGUGCUGAAUACAAAUACCUUAUAAUCUGAAUACAGAGAUCUUACAGCAUCACUCAAGGCUUCUUGAAGGCAAUGCAUAUAACAUACGAAUGGAAGCUGUAAUCUAUAAUGCCACAAAUCCUUUAUGAGGAUUAUCUCUGUUAUCUCAUCUGACAUCAGAGAAUUACAUGGAAUAUAGACACAUAAAUGGCUUAGUCACAGAAAGGUCCUUUAGAAAAAGGUAGGGGAAAGGAAGUUUUGUUUGUUUCUAAGCUGGGGAGAAGAGGGAAAGCUCUGCAAAUGACAAGUGCAUUGGAGCUAAAGUCCUGUUUGGGUUCACUGCAGAGAUCUUACUCACUUGGGAGAAUUAGGCGACGGAACUGAGUCCCCACUGUCUUGAUUUGCAUGUCGUCAUGUACAGCCGUGCAAAGGGCGGAUGACAUACAUGCUUGUACCUCCAUUUCCCUUUAGCUAGGUUCAGCCAGUCUGCAUGAGCGUCAGGGACUAUGGAAAGUGUAAGACAAUCAAUGAUAAAACCCUGUAGCUCCACAUUGGCCAAACAGAAGCCUUAGAUUUAAAUAACUCGAGCUCAGGAUAGGAUUGUUUGAAUUAUGAGGCUCAGUUGCAUAGCUAAACAGAAGAUUUACUCAUUGCAGAGCCAGCCUAGAUUCAUCGUUGGUAGUUCUCUCCUACUGCCUUCACUUAUUUUUCUUUAUGGGACCCUGCUGGUUUCUUCAAAGAGAAAACUGAUAAAGUAUGAUGCAGUUUCCCUGCUGUCUGUGACUUUCCUUAUGCCUCCUACCUAUCUUGUCUCUUUUUCCAUCCAGAUGAAUGAGAUUCUAACCUAGCCUUGUACACUUGCUCUAGUUACCUUAUUCCCUUCUCCUUCACACCUGUGUAUCACCCUAUUUUUCUUCUUAAAAUCUCUGGCUCAUUUUCAUUAACAAUAAAGCAGAUUUGGUCUUUCCCUUCUUAGAAAUUCUUAUCUAUCAGCAUCCCUUCCCUCUCCAGUUACCAACCAAUUACUAACUCGUUCCUUCCUUUCAUCUCUAAUUGCACCUCUGACAGCACUGAAUGUGUUGUUUAUUGCCUACAAGCCAAUGUCAGAGGUGCUGUCUUAGACCCUCUCCAGUCCAGUCUCUACACUUCUCAUUCAUCUCGAACCACUCUCACCAAGCUCUCUAAUGAUGGUAGGACAAAAGGAAAAGAAGGGAAAGGACAUGUUGGCAUACCUUGCAAUUUUAAAUACCUAUUUUUAAUUCUCCUGUUUUGGGAACUGAUUAAAACCCCACUAAAAUUAAUGAAGUCUUUCCAUUGAUGUAACAAUCCUUAGACCAGUACCAGCAAAAUCAUACAUUAUGUAAGUCAGGGUUCAAGAAGGAAUUCCAGUAUUUUCAUUCAUAGAUGGCUCAUUUCCUGUAGCUUUCACACUGUCCUUUCCACUCCACUGACCUCUGUCUGAUCGUAUACAAUCUCCUUUAUAUUCCCUCUUACAGGAUAAGUAGUUGGAUGUGCGUAGAAGAAUGUUCCAUUUUCUGAAAGAAUUUCUUGGAUUCCCUGAAGAGAUUAGUACAAAAUUUUAAUUAGGGGCAUUGGCAGAGUUCCCAAAUGCUGGUAUAUUAGGCUGUGGUUUUCAUUUUCAUCACCCGUUUUGGUUCCUAUACAAUGCAUAGGAUUUCUGAUGAGUAGUUUACUUUAAAUGAUGUACAUCUUGUUCCUCCAGUUUUUGUCCAUCCCGUUGAUACAGAUGAGUCAUGAUUAGCAACAAAGUCUUGUCUUUUCCUUCCAAAGACUGGGGAGGUUGCCCAAUAUUCUGAGGACAAUUGUCCAAAAGAUGUCAGAGUUUGAAGUGACCAGUAAAAUUUCCACUAAAACUCUGGAAGGCAUACAGGAUGCAAGUGUCAUUAAUUAAGCUCUAAGAACCUACAGUGCUGUGGGAACCUGGCAUAAAAUACACAAGCUGAACUUUGUUUGCAACUUCCUUCUAUUUAGGAAUUCAUUAAAGGGCUGAAGCAUUUGCAGAGAUUUCAGGGCCCAGUGCUAGAAUGGCUAAUUGCUGGCUUGGUCUUUUGUAUACAGUGUAGCACAUAAAAGGACUGUGAUCAAAGAAUGCAGGUGCUGCUGAGGGCAAUGAGAAUGCAAGUCUGGUGAUUGCUUGCCAGAUACAAUAUAUAACCUUUCAUUUAGCUGUGCUUUGCUUUCGUCCACGAUAGGAUUUUGUAGGAAUUGCUGAAUGAUUUUGACUGAAGUGAUUUAAUAAAUGCGUUGUUUAAGCAGAGCUAAAAGUUAAUACUUCUUCUUUCAUCUUCCUCCUGUUUUCCCCCCUUCUAGCACCUGAGGGGAACAUAACCACUACUGCAGAUCUAACUUAGGUGAAGGCUUUAGUAAGUUUAAGUUGGUUGCACCUUCUCCAGUACAUUAGAGGUGGCUAUCACAGUUAAUUUUUGCUGGAUCCAUGGUCUUGUAGUGGAGGAGAGUGAGAUUACACACUACAGCUUAGCUCGCAUAUCUUCACAGUGAGAGCUAAAGAAGUCACAUAAUUUUAUGACUAUAUCUACCAUACCUAGAUUUUCUUCAGUUCCUGCCCUAACUGUUCUCAUCUUGCCAAUGUUUUCAUAUAUUGUUCUCAUCAAAUAGCAACAAGAAGUCUAUGGUGAAGCUUUCUCCUUUUUAAACAACCAUCCUAUUUGAUCACCCCCCAAAAAUAGCACAAGCCAUAUGAAACAAGUGGAGCUGUGGACCCUGUCUUGGAGAGCAUGCAUGAGUAAUUAAAUAAUAUGCCCUUCUGUCACCAUUUUUGCAGGGAGGGGGAUUAAAAUCUGUGUUCACAGGCUGAGAGCAGGUGUCUCUGAUGAGAUCCCAUGCUGUGACAUGCAUGCAGCACAUUCUUACAUGAAAAGCCCUGGCUGAUGAAAUGACCACAGGAAGACAACAUGGAACCCUCCCGGCAUGAUCAGAAGAGGCUUAAUUAAGCUCUGUGGUUAAUUUUAAAGACCUUUUGUCAGAAGCAUAGCAAGGAACUUCAGUCUGGCUUUCAAAAGUGCUGAACACCCAAAACUCCUACUGAGGUCUCCGGGAAUUACAGGUACUCAAUACCACUGCAAAUUAAAGCUGAAUGAACUGUUUCAUGUUUGCUGAGAGUUUGCUUUCUGUACAGUGCCAUCACAUCUGCAAAAUGACCCUAAGUUAACCUCCUAAGCCUUCUGAGGCAGAAACUUCCUAUGCAUAGGUACAACAUCUCACACAAUGCAAUACAGAGCUUAGCAAAGGCCUCUAGGCACUAAUACAAUAAAAUUAAUUAGUAAAAACAACAGUAAAUUAUAAAUUCACAGUAUCUGUAUUUGCAGGGCAAUGGGGAAUACAUAUUUGGGCUGGUUAUGUGUAGAUGGGUCUGCUUUUGUUAUCCAGUUUCCAACUGACUAUCUGUGGUCUGAUUUGUUGGACAAAUUAUGUCCAAUGUGUUCAUAGUUUUUGUGAACUUAAAAAAUUUUUCUUUUUAUGACUCUGUAAAAGCCACAUUGAGAAACAGUCAAAAAUAAAUAAAUGCUUCUUAUUAUUGCCUUCA